rnacentral:lncRNA from 1 species
AUGAUCUGGAAGUGUAAGUUGUGCGCAGCUUCUUACACCUCCAGAAUACAGUUAUUUAGACACUAUAGGCUGCAGCACAGCCACUAUUCCAGAAUCAGCCCCCUUCCAUGCCUCUACACUGAUUGCAUUUGCACAUUUCAGACACUUAAUGCACUGAGUACUCAUUUGUCAAGAUAUCAUACAGCACAACCUAGCAGUUGUACAGAGCAGAGUCAGGGCCCUGUGUUAUUUAAAUGCCCUUUAUGCACAUUUCAGCAACCCUUUUCUAAUUCAGCUCUUUUCAGUCAUCUCAGAAAGCAUUUGAAAAAUCAUGAAACAGUGACGUGCCCAUAUAAGGAUUGUAGCUAUAGCACAAAUGUGUACUCCUCGUUCAAUACUCAUAAAAGUAGAGAACACCAAGCAGGUCUUGCAUCUGACUUUCAAAUUGAUAUUGUCAGUGAGGAUCCCCAUAGUCUUCAAGCCAGUAUUUCUGAGGAAACUAGUGAUUUGCAUGAAGAAUGCCCAGGCCAGAGCAGAGAAGGGGAGAAUGGUGAUCAGUGUGACACUGGCAGUCUAAGAAAUCAACUUAAAAAAAAUGUAUCUUCCUUAUUUCUAAAGAUGCAGGCUAUCCUCCAUGUCUCAAACACAGCUACUCAGGAAAUAGUAGACCACUUGAAUCAGAUCUUCUCCUUAUCUGAGCCGUUGAUCAAAGAGGCAGUUAAUGACAUACUGCAAAGAAAUGGUCAUAGUAUUGCAGAACCUACACUGAGUGAAGUUGUUGCCGCUGUCAUGGACUGCAAUGUUCUCUCUAUGUCAACCUCUAAAGGUGCCGAAUUGAGUUCAUCCAAGCGCAGAAAAACCUUUAUUGAGCGCAACUAUCCUUAUGUAAUGCCAGUGGAGUAUCAGUUGGAGCAACCUGGACAUACCAGCAUGUAUGUUCCUAUCCUUUCAAUGAUUCAAGAGUUGUUUAAAAACACAGACAUUCUUAACAAGAUUACUGAAACAAAUACGGCAUCUGGUCAAUAUGUAUCAUGCUCCAAUGGCUCUCAUUUCCUUGAAAAUGAGUUACUGUCAACAGGGGAUCUCAUCCUACCACUCCAGCUAUAUACUGAUGAUCUUGAAAUUUGCAAUCCGCUUGGCACAUCACGCAAAAUUCACAAAUUUUGCGCUGUAUAUUGGGUCCUCGCUAAUGUGCCACCAAAAUACAGAUCAGCAUUACAUGCUAUACAGCUAGCAAUACUGGUAAAAGUGACAGACCUCCGUAAGUAUGGAUAUGCAGCUGUACUUGCUCCAUUGCUGCGUGAUCUUCAUACUCUGGAAAAAGACGGUGUCUUCAUCGAAAGAGUUGGUCAGAAUGUCAGAGGCACUGUCUUUUGUGUUUCUGCUGACAAUUUGGCUGCUCAUGGAUUAGGUGGCUUUGUAGAGUCAUUUAGAGCAGGCCAUGUUUGCAGAUUCUGUAUGGGCUCAGUUGAACAGUUUCAAGUAACUGAAGUCAGAGAGAGAAAGUUUCUUCAGAGAACCAAAGCCAGCCAUGACCUACAUGUGCAAACUGUUCAAGAAAGUGACACUUUGAGCAGCCACUUUGGUGUUAAAGGUGGCUGUGUUUUGCGUGAGUCCCUGAAUUACUUCCAUACAAUCACUGGGUUUCCUCCUGAUAUACUCCAUGAUCUUCUGGAAGGUAUCGUUCCCAUGGAGCUUUCUCUUUGUGUCAAAGAGAUGAUCCGGCUAAAGUACUUCACCUUGGAGUAUUUGAACAACAAGAUUACAUCUUUCCCAUAUCAACACACUGAUAAAGUGGAUAGACCCCAGCCACUUCCCAAAACGUUUCUUUCUCGAGGAACGAUUGGAGGUAAUGGACAUGAAAAUGCCACUCUGCUCCGACUUCUUCCAUUGCUUGUUGGCAGUGUAAUACCAGAGGGUGAUGAGUCAUGGGCAGUUUUGAUGGAGUUGAAAGAGGUGGUAGAGUUAGCAUUGUGCCCGUCAUUUACUGAUGAAACCUUAGACUAUUUUGUGUGCAAAAUCAGUGAUCAUAGACAGGCAUUGCUAGAGGUUUUCCCUGAGGUUAGGCUCCGUCCUAAACAUCAUUAUGUGGAGCAUUAUCCUGCUCUAAUCAAGUGCUUUGGGCCCCUGCUGCACGUUUGGACCAUGCGGUUUGAGGCCAAGCACCGCUUUUUCAAAAGAGUGGUGCAUGACGCUCAAAACUUCAAAAAUAUUUUGAAGACAAUGGCAAUCAGACACCAACACAUGAUGGCAUAUCAUCUUGCUGCACCAUCAUUUUUCAAGCCAAAAACUCAGGCAUCCAGGGUUGACUCUGUUCUGGUUUCAGCUCUACCAGAGGUUGCUCAAGUACACAUUAGAGAACAAACAACUAGUGACACAAUCUACAAGACAACAAAUGUGACCAUUGAUGGCACAGACUAUGUCUGUGGAAUGUUUCUGUCUGUAGGAGUCAGUGGUGGACUGUCGAAAUUUGGCAAAAUAGAAGAGAUCUUUCUUGUGAAUCACAACGUAUCUUUUCUGUGUUGUGAUUAUGACUCCUGGUAUGUAGAACAUCUACGGUCCUAUGAGCUGUCAACUGCAGACAUAAGCCUGUCGAUCCACCUGCAGUCUGGUCUGAAUGAUACAGUCCCUCUCUCUGCAUACAAGAUAGACGGCUCGCUGCUGCUGACCCCCAAGCGGUUCAUUCAAGUGAGACAGAACUGA